GGCUUGAGGCUUUGUUAUACUAGGUUCAGAACCUGGGUAUUUGUUCUAGACUGUGUACCCAAGCGGACAACUCGAGUCGAGGAGGGGGCUAUGCACCGGGGACCCGCAAGAUCAUUCGGCUUAGUAGCUUGUCCGAGCCUCUUUCUUAUUUCAAGGUAUAACUCUAACAGAAUAGGGAGUCUCGACCAGCGAGCACAUUCCUGUAGAUAAGAAGAGAAGGGUUUCGCAACAGUUUAUAUGUACAAUUCAAAUAAUAUCAAAGAGAUAAAAGAAUCGCUUUGCAUAUUAAGUCAGCAUGUAAAAUCAGAUAAUAAACAAAGCCAAAUACAAUAAUUAUUCUAAGCUCGAAUUCUUGAACCAUGCACCAAAGAUUCUGGGUUCGAUUCCCCAGCAGAGUCGCUAGAGCUAUCACACCUCCUUUUGACUACUACAACCCCGUGAAAGGCGUAGUUAAGGGAGUUUUUUUCAAUUAAAGGACAAUCGAAACGGGAUCUAAUUACUUAAGAGAUUUUCAGAGUCACCACUUGGAAGAUUUAGGGUGUCCCAAGUCACCGGUUUAGAAUCUCGAAUUGAGGAAAAAAUUACUCUGUUUAACAGUCCCUGAACUAGAAAUCCGAGUAAAGAAUUCUGUUAUCCCGAGAGAAGAUGUUAGGCAUUCCCGGGUUCCGUGGUUCUAGCAUGGUCGCUCAACUGUCAUAUUCGGCUUAAUUACCUGAUUUUAUAGAAUUAUAAACCUAUAUGAAAAUAUUAACUUCUAGCCGCUUAUUUAUUUUUUUAAAGAGAAUUUUAGAAUCGUUGAAACAUGUCUCGAACCACGUUACAUAAAUGCACCCGUGAUUUUUUACACAUUUCAACUUCGUUGGGAUUUGGAUUUGGAUCACAUAAAUGCGCACCGAAGUUUAGGAAGAUAAAUUAUUAAAACAACGUGCCUAAAGCAACUACCAUAUUUAUGAAUAUGAAGGGUCUAAGCAUGUUCCUUGCCACCCAAAUAAUAAAAUCAGCAUUAAAAUUACAAAGAUCCAUUUAUACUCAAUUCUCACUUCAUUCUUAUAUCAAAACCAAACUUUUUUCCUUUCUUAAGCUUGACCGAUAUCAAUCCUUAGCUCUUAUUUCAGCAUGAUCCCAAUCAUUAAUGGAAGGUUUAUAACAAAAUCAGUUAUAUAACCUUUGCCAUCAAUCCAAGUGGAGAGUAUAUUUGUAGGAUGAUCAUUUGAUUCUUUCUUUAACCUUGGUAAAUAAUGUUUCUCAUGUUUCUUUGCAAAUUCCAGCACAAGAAUUAACAUGAAUGUAAUCGUUUAAGAGAAAUAUUGGACAAGUGCUAAUCUCUAGGUGCCUAAACAUAUGGAUAACUUCAACAAUUGUGCAAUAAAUUCACCUCGGGCUACAAGUGCAAAAUACACUCAACCCAAACACUUAGCAUAUGCAACAUAUCAAAUAGAGAGAUUAAGGAUCAAGAGAAUUGGACCUUUAUUGCUUUAGUGUAAACGGGUUACAACAGCAACUAUGAGCGUAAGACUAGACCUCGACCGGAACGGAAUCUAACGGCUGUCACCUCGACGGACAGUACCAAAGAGCUUCAAACCUUGCGCGGGGAAUUACUCUCCAGUGACCUCAACUCCACGUAAAUUUAAGAUCCUAAGGCAGCCCGGCAGCUGCGUUUAUUGAUUUGUUUUCCGGCGAUCUUGGUGGACUGCGUCGAAGUGAUUGCUGGUUAAGGGUGUGAUGGUGAGGCUCUUUGUGUGGAGGUGGAGGCUGUGUGUUUUGGUUUAGGGGAUCCUUCUCUAGGUUAAGGCGAUGAAGAAGAUAUGCUAAGGUUUUCGAGUUGUGAAUGGAGAAGAAGAAGAAGCUUAAGCUUCAUGGAAAACGAGUUUGUUGGUUUCGUUUCAAUGAGGAAGAAGCUCAUGGUGUGUUAUGACUGAAGCUGUGUCGAUCUAUAGCUGCUUCUUCUCUAUAUUAAGCCCCUUUCAUAGCUGAAGAAUUCUUCUCUUUUGAAGAAGAAGAAGAAGAAGAACGACGUGAGGAAAUUUUCACUGUUGCGGCGCUCCCUCCUCUUAUGUUCUCACGCGUGUAUUAUCUAUUAUGUGAAUUAGGUCUAGG
rnacentral:lncRNA from 1 species